rnacentral:rRNA from 1 species
GAUUAACGCUAGCGGCAGGCCUAAUACAUGCAAGUCGAACGGCAGCACGGGUAGCAAUACCUGGUGGCGAGUGGCGCACGGGUGAGUAACACGUAUGCAAUCUACCUUUAACUGGGGAAUAACCCUUCGAAAGAAGGGCUAAUACCGCAUAACACUUCGAGAAGGCAUCUUCAUGAAGUUAAACCUCCGGGAGUUAAAGAUGAGCAUGCGCUCGAUUAGUUAGUUGGUGAGGAAUGGCUCACCAAGACUUCGAUCGAUAGGGGGUCUGAGAGGAUGAU